GUAUAAAAGAGAGAGGAGCGACGCUUAGCGCUUCCCUUCACAAGGACCGAAUGGAUAUCAUUUAAUCUUUCUCAAAUAAUCAUCAUCGUCAUAGCUCUCUACUUCAGAGCAACACUUAAAAAAAAAAUUUCU
rnacentral:ncRNA from 1 species